UCCCCUGUCCAAGCCGAGCCCCAGAAAACCUAAACAAGCAGUUUUCAACGGCUUACAGCAAUACAGCUACGAAUGCUCGAAAUCCAACCAUGCUAUCUCGUCUAUUUCCGGUGCCAACAUUCAUCAAUGGCACCGGUACCGGCAGCGGCACCACCGUAGCUCCAAUCGCAACCUCAUUUUCAUGCCCCCUGCACUCCAACGCCGCCGAAUCAGCGUUACAUGCGCCGUCUCCAACAGCCAGCAGAAUCACUACGCUGUUCUAGGGGUAUCAGCUGAGGCUACAACCUCGGAUAUCAAGAAGGCCUAUCGUCUCCUCGCUUGAAAGUAUCAUCCAGAUGUCAACAAGGAUUCACAAGCUAGUGAAAUGUUUAAAGGCAUUCAUCUCGCAUACGAGGUGUUAUCUAACAAGACAACAAGACAGAAAUACGAUAAUACCCUCAUCAACAAACGACACUUGUUUACCCAACUCCUGAAAUUUCGCUUCUUCUCCAUAUUCUUACUCAAAACCAUAGGGGCAAAACUGUUACUCGCUUUUAGCAGUUUAAUGGCUUUACUUGACCCAAAACUCCAUGGAGGGUACAAGCUCGGUUUACGUUAUUGCAUGGGUGUUGGGGGGUAAAACUGGAAUUUUACUCACUUUAUGCCUCUCGUUUGCAAGUUGGGUUUGUGGGAAACCCAUGUCUAUUAAACCCGAAGCUCGUCUUAACUAAACAUACAUAGUUUUUUUUCUUCAUUUUAAACACUCUGUAAAUAGUAUUGGAUAUGAUAUUAAGCUCCAAGCUGAUCUUAAUUCUUAACUACACCUAACAUCAUAGUUUCUACAUCUUUUCCCAUUAAGUUCUGUAUGGGUGAAGUGGUUGAAUGAGACUAAAAUGACUAUUUUCUAUUUACCCUUACAUGUAAAAAACAACUUUCAUAGUGUUCAUUGGUAUCGAUUUUGUCAAGCUUUUGGUUAUUCCAUUA